UACAGAGACUGCAAGCGUUAUUCGGAUUCACUGGGCGUAAAGGGUGCGCAGGCGGCCAAGUGUGUUAGGCGUGAAAGCCUGGGGCUUAACCUCAGAAUUGCACCUAAAACUACAUGGCUAGAGCAUUGGAAAGGGUAGCGGAAUUCACGGUGUAGCAGUGAAAUGCGUAGAUAUCGUGAGGAACACCAGAGGCGAAGGCGGCUACCUGGACAAUUGCUGACGCUCAGGCACGAAAGCGUGGGGAGCAAAAGGG
rnacentral:rRNA from 1 species